ensembl:miRNA Gm22693 predicted gene, 22693
AAAAUUUGAUAUAUGUACAUCGCCAAAGAAACUUUCACCAUAAAGAAUAACCAAGCUAUUCAAUAUGUAUGGGAAUGGUGAGCACUUGGAACAAUCUUAAGUAAUUUAGUCAAAAAAUUAGAAAUAUGAGUAUUAUGUUUUAUAUUAUUAGUGAAUCAUAUGUAUGUUUUUUAAAACCCUUAAAUGCAUUUAAAUGAAAUAGCAUAUAGUCAAAAGAAUGAGAAACCAAAUUUCAAAAGAAUAUACAAAUAGAAAGUAUACAGUUUCACCAAAGCUUUCUGUUAUAAUGCUUAUUGUACAGACAAUGCACUUAAAGAGCACUUUUAAUCUUUAUUUUUUACUCUAUUUGAAAAAUCAAACAUUUUAGAUAAAGCUCCCAAUCAGAACAAAGACAAAUUUCACUUAAAUUUUGACUUUUAAAGUUUGUUGAAUGUAGAAAAAGAAAAUUAGUAAUC